rnacentral:misc_RNA from 1 species
UCCAAACAAGCUCUUUGUCCCACUAAGUUAGCCGAAACGAGAAGGUACGCCAAACACUUCCCUUCCCUUUAUCUCCAAGUCUGAGACAGAAAAUUGUCUCUCUCUCCUCUAUCUUCCCUCUCACCAUCGCAUGAAUUCAAACCCUAUCACUUUCCUUCACUAGAUGAUAAUGGGGCUUCGAGCCGUUAACACUUGUUCCCUCAUUCGCACCGCUUCUUCAACUCCUCUUUUUGCGCUUCAGUGCUGUUUUGGCCAUACCAAGACCUUGCAAUUUAGUGGUUACAUUAAAUUUGGAUUUCAGCCCAACAUAUUUCGCAGCGAGUCAUUUUACAGUCAUGGCAGCAGUAUCAGGAGUUGUUCAGUUCACAGUCUCGUCAACAGCGUCAUGGAAGAGCUCGCGUCUAUUCGCAGACGCAAGAGAGUUUGCUCCGCCAUCAAAUUAACCAGCAGCGGAGAGCUUCUGGAUGAUAAGCUUGUAAACCAGGUGCUUGAGAAAGGAUUGUUGCUGGAGUUCAAGAAGGAUUCUGACAGGGUACUACUGGCAGUGGCACAGAGACCAGAUGGAAAGAAGAAUUGGAUGGUGUAUGAUCAGGUUCUAGUAGAAACAACUAAUGCGGCAUGUUGAAUAGAAUGGAGUUAUGUCCUCCAUCAAACCACAGCAAGUUACUUAUAUUGUUCCGGGUGUUGAAAAUUUUGAUUGCACAGAGAUCUCUAGAUUUAUUGAGAAGGCUCAAGAUAACUUGGACUCAUCACUGCUAGAGUUUGCUUGGGUUGAGCUUCUUGAAAAUAAUAAGUCAGUGACUCCAGAGGAAUUAGCAGAGAUGAUUUUUGGUAGUGCGGAGCCUCUUGAGAGCUAUUGUGCACAUCUUUUACUAUCAAAUGAUGAAAUAUAUUUCACAGUGUUGGAGACAAAAGGUUCUCGUUCUCUUUAUGGACCUCGACCUACUACACAGGUGGAAGAACUUAUGUGCAGGAAGCUUGCGAGGGAGGCUGCUGAGAAAGAUCUUCAUGAGUUUGUCCAACUACUAAAAUCUGCUAAGGCAAUGCCUUCACAUGCUAAACCUUCCAAAUCGUCAUGGAUAGUUGAAGAGAAAAUCCAACAAAAAAUCGAAUCUCUUGAAGCAUAUGCAAUUGAUGCAUGCAAAAGUGAUGACCAAAGGAAAACUGCAGGGAUGGUAACUUGUUUAACUUUAUUUUCUUUGAUUUUGAUAUGGGAUUUUAUAAUUUGUGUACUAAAUAAAAAAGGCUUAUUGAGAUGAAACAUCCUUUAUGUGCUUUAGAAGAAGUCUGAAGAAUAGACUGAAAAAUGUGUUAAUAUUUCUUGAAUGCCACCUGCUUUUUAUAUGAUUUAUUCAAGAUAUGUCAACUGCAAACUGGAUUUGUUGCCAUUCUCUGGAUAAUAUGUUUAUUCUUUCAUCAGAUCCUCAAGGCAAUGGGAAUGGCAAAAUCAGCAUCCUCUGCUGCUAACCUCCUCAUAGAUGUUGGGUAUUUCCCUGUCCAUGUUAAUCUUGAUCUAUUGAAGUUAAACAUUGCUAUGGAUCAUUCAGAUGAGAUUAUAUCAGCUGCUGAAAAUCUUGUGUCAGCAUCAGUUGACCCAGACAAGACCAACAGGAAAGAUCUUACUCACUUGAAGGUCUAUGCCAUUGAUGUUGAUGAGGCUGAUGAGAUUGAUGAUGCCUUGAGUGCAACAAGGUUACAGGAUGGUCGGAUCAAAGUUUGGAUACAUGUUGCUGAUCCAGCUCGAUUUGUCCAACCUGGAAGCACAAUAGACAGGAAUGCAAUGAGAAGAGGAACUUCUGUUUUCUUGCCCACAGCUACUUAUCCAAUGUUUCCGGAGAAGCUUGCUAUGGAGGGAAUGAGUUUGAAACAAGGAGAGGUUUGCAAUGCUGUUUCAGUAUCUGUUGUUCUACAUUCUGAUGGCUGCAUUGCAGAAUAUUCUGUGGAUAACUCAAUCAUUAAACCAACCUAUAUGCUGACAUACGAGAGUGCAUCUGAGUUACUUUAUUUGAACCUCAAAGAGGAGGCUGAUUUAAGAAUUCUUUCUGAGGCUGCAGCUUGCCGGUUACAAUGGCGUUGCCAACAGGGUGCAGUUGACACAGCCACAUUGGAAACUCGCGUCAAGGUGGCCAAUCCAGAAGAUCCAGAGCCUUCAAUUAAUCUUUAUGUUGAAAACCAAGCUGACCCUGCAAUGCGACUUGUCUCUGAGAUGAUGAUACUCUGUGGGGAAGUCAUGGCCACCUAUGGCUCUUGCCAGAACAUUCCUUUACCCUAUAGAGGACAACCCCAAUCAAAUAUUGAUGUAUCUGCAUUUGCACACCUCCCUGAAGGGCCUGUUAGAAGUGCUGCAAUUGUCAGAAUAAUGCGUGCUGCUGAAUUUGAUUUCAGGAAACCUAUACGGCAUGGGAUUUUGGGAGUUCCUGGUUAUGUUCAGUUUACUUCUCCCAUUCGCAGAUAUAUGGAUCUUCUUGCUCAUUAUCAGGUCAAAGCUGUUCUUAGAGGUGAUUCUCCUCCUUUCUCAGCUGGUCAGCUCGAAGGGAUGGCAUCCUCGGUUAACAUGCAAACUAGAGUAAUAAGGAGGCUUUGCAACAGCAGUCUUCGCUAUUGGAUAAUUGAAUUCUUGAAAAGGCAACCAAAGGAGAGAAGAUAUCAUGCACUGAUCCUUAGAUUCAUCAAAGAUCGAGUUGCAGCCUUACUACUUGUUGAGGUGGGCUUUCAAGCGUCUGCAUGGGUGUCUGUGGGAAGGCACAUAGGAGAUGAAAUACAAGUCCAGGUAGAAGAAGCUUAUGCACGUGACGAUAUUGUUUCCCUCAAGGAGGUUAUAUAGGGGGAUAAUAAGGUAAUUCUAACGAAAGAGCUUAUUGCUGAAGAAAACAAAUGCCAGACCAUCUCAAAAUGUUCGAAUUCAUCUUGGUAAUUGCCUAGAUUCUCCUUAGCUUGCUGCUAAUUCAUUGUUCUACAAGGAUGGCUGACGUGAAAAAUUCCAGCACGUAACCAUUGAAGUCUGGGAAUGCAAAUUUCGGAACAAAUCAAUUUCAUUUUUCUGAAAAGCUGCAUUGUAAUUCCAUCUACAGCUAUAUAUCUGCCCAGCUAUUCUCAGAAAAUCUGGGAUUUGAUCGGCGUCAUGGGCUGGCUGCUUAUGUUGUGGUUUAAAUUGUCCAUGUUUUUUCAACUUUUGGUUGAUGAGGUGAAGGUUCCAUAUUCGGGGCUAGCAUUCUUUGUACCGUGAUUUUGUUUUCUUAGAACAGGCUAACAAGUUUGUAGCUGAACUUCCAAUACCAAGCUAUACCAAAGUUGUGUAUUCCUCACCAUAAAUGUCUUUGACGUGUUGAUUGUACUCAGGAUUCAGCAUUUUGGUAUGUUUUCUGUUAUAUAUACAUGUAUUGCAA